rnacentral:rRNA from 1 species
GUGAGGAAUAUUGGUCAAUGGGCGAGAGCCUGAACCAGCCAAGUCGCGUGAGGGAAGACGGUCCUACGGAUUGUAAACCUCUUUUGUCGGGGAGCAAUAAAGCGUACGCGUACGCAGAUGCGAGUACCCGAAGAAAAAGCAUCGGCUAACUCCGUGCCAGCAGCCGCGGUAAUACGGAGGAUGCGAGCGUUAUCCGGAUUUAUUGGGUUUAAAGGGUGCGCAGGCGGAAAGUGCAAGUCAGCGGUCAAACGACGGGGCUCAACCCCGUCUCGCCGUUGAAACUGUCUUUCUAGAGUGAGCGAGAAGUAUGCGGAAUGCGUGGUGUAGCGGUGAAAUGCAUAGAUAUCACGCAGAACUCCGAUUGCGAAGGCAGCAUACCGGCGCUCAACUGACGCUCAUGCACGAAAGCGUGGGUAUCGAACAGGAUUAGAUACCCUAGUAGUCC